rnacentral:rRNA from 1 species
AGGAAAGUAGGGGAUCGCAAGACCUUGCGCUUUUGGAGCGGCCGAUGUCUGAUUAGCUAGUUGGUGAGGUAAAGGCUUACCAAGGCGUCGAUCAGUAGCUGGUCUGAGAGGACGACCAGCCACACUGGGACUGAGACACGGCCCAGACUCCUACGGGAGGCAGCAGUGGGGAAUUUUGGACAAUGGGGGAAACCCUGAUCCAGCCAUGCCGCGUGAGUGAAGAAGGCCUUCGGGUUGUAAAGCUCUUUCAGCCGGAACGAAACGGUCACAGCUAAUACCUGUGACUACUGACGGUACCGGAAGAAGAAGCACCGGCUAACUACGUGCCAGCAGCCGCGGUAAUACGUAGGGUGCGAGCGUUAAUCGGAAUUAUUGGGCGUAAAGCGUGCGCAGGCGGUUUUGUAAGUCAGAUGUGAAAUCCCCGGGCUUAACCUGGGAACUGCGUUUGAAACUACAAGGCU